rnacentral:rRNA from 1 species
CACGUAGGGGGCGAGCGUUGUCCGGAAUCAUUGGGCGUAAAGAGCUCGUAGGCGGCUCGGUAAGUCGGGUGUGAAACCCCCAGGCUCAACCUGGGGACGCCACCCGAUACUGCUGUGGCUAGAGUCCAGUAGGGGAGUGUGGAAUUCCCGGUGUAGCGGUGAAAUGCGCAGAUAUCGGGAAGAACACCCGUGGCGAAGGCGGCUCUCUGGAACGCAACUGACGCUGAGACGCGAAAGCGUGGGGAGCAAACAGG